rfam:Escherichia coli 53638 gcontig_1105238512145, whole genome shotgun sequence.
GGUGGCAGGCCCACCGGGAUCUGCUGUCGGAAGUCGGUCCCAAACAACCCCGGCUGCUGUGGUAAAGAGCCAUGGUAGCAGGGAAAGAUCAUCAGAAGUUC